GACGAACGCUGGCGGCGUGCUUAACACAUGCAAGUCGAACGGACUUACACUUAACACUGAGCUUUUUAGAUGGGCUCGAAACAGCCUGCGAUGAACGAACGAAGUUCGGUCAUCACGCUCUAUAAAAGUGAUUGACACUUAGCUUAAACGGCUCAGUGUUGAGUGUAAGUUAGUGGCGAACGGGUGAGUAACGCGUAGACAACCUGCCUCUUAGAUGGGGACAACAUCGCGAAAGCGGUGCUAAUACCGAAUGAAGUGGAGCUUCCGCAUGGAAGCAUCACCAAAGGUGGCCUCUAUUUAUAAGCUACCACUGAGAGAUGGGUCUGCGUCUGAUUAGCUAGUUGCGGGGUAAUGGCCCACCAAGGCGACGAUCAGUAGCCGGUCUGAGAGGAUGAACGGCCACAUUGGGACUGAGACACGGCCCAAACUCCUACGGGAGGCAGCAGUGGGGAAUCUUCCGCAAUGGACGAAAGUCUGACGAGCAACG
rnacentral:rRNA from 1 species